rnacentral:misc_RNA from 1 species
AGAAUCCAAAUGCUGCAUCAGCCAAGUAGGGUAAUGGAUAUGGAAAGUGAACUUAAAGGUUUGCGGAUUCAGCUUGCGGAGAAGUCUUUGUACUGUAGUCAACUUAUGAAACAGGUAGCAAUGAGCAAAAGAUUCGAGGAUGACAAGUCAUUUUUGUAUGCACUUGAUGGUUCUGAAAGUUUAGGCUCAUGUUUACGUGUUUCUCCUCAAACGGAUACUGCUCCAGACAUAUCAAGUUGCCCCGUUCAGUGGUACCGUAUACAGUGUGAAGAAGAAGGAAAUAAAGAACUCAUAAUAGGGGCAACAAGACCAAUUUAUGCUCCGGAGCCCUUUGAUGUUGGGAGAUUUUUGGAAGCAGAGAUUUCUAUAAAUGAUGAGAAAGUUACAGUGAGAACAACUGGUCCAAUAAAUCCUGCUGCUGGAUUGGGUAACUAUGUGGAUGCACUCCUAAGGAAGCCGGACAAUGAGUUCAGUGUG